rnacentral:rRNA from 1 species
CGCCAGAUAAGUUACCAGAGGCAUGGUUAAGUGGGAAACGAUGUGGGAAGGCACAGACAGCCAGGAUGUUGGCUUAGAAGCAGCCAUCAUUUAAAGAAAGCGUAAUAGCUCACUGGUCGAGUCGGCCUGCGCGGAAGAUGUAACGGGGCUAAACCAUGCACCGAAGCUGCGGCAGCGGACGUAUCACCCAAGCAGAUUCACUGAAGUGGAUAACGAUUGACGGAGCGCAGCGACGUCAAUGCGCCAUCAAAGUCGAGUCGGCUUCGGGAUACGUCCGUUGGGUAGGGGAGCGUUCUGGAAGCGGUCGAUGAUGG